rnacentral:lncRNA from 1 species
AAAAUAAACGACAGUGCCUUUCUUACAACCAAAUAUUAUACUCAUAUAUUUUAAACAAAAUAUAAUAAUUAUUAGUAAUUAUUUAUUUAAAUAUUCAAUUAAAAUAAAACUUGUUUAAUUAGUUUAAUGUCAAGAACAUUAAAAAAGAAACCAUGGGCCGCAAAAUAAACGAUAGUGUCUUUCUUACCCCAAAAUAUUAUACUCAUACAUUAUAAGCAAAAUUGUUAUUCAUUAGUAAUAAUUUAUUCAAAUAUUCAAUUAAAAUAAAAUUUUAAUUGUUUACUUUAAUUAGUUUAAAGUCAAGAACAUUAAAAAAAAAAAAAACGAUGGGGCGCGAAAUAAAUGACAGUGCCUUUCUUACCCCAAAAUAUUAUAAUUAUACUCUAUAAAGAAAAUUUUUAUUUAUUAGUAAUCAUUUAUUCAAAUAUUCAAUUAAAAUAAAACUUUAAUAGUUCACUUUAAUUAGUUUAAAGUGAAGAACAUUAAAAAAAAAAUAAUGAGUCCAAAAUAAAUGACAGUGGCUUACUUACCCUAAAAUAUCAUACUUACAUAUUAUAAACAAAAUUGUUAUAUAUUUGUAAUCAUUUAUUCAAAUAUUUAAUUAAAAAAGUUUAAUUGUUCUCUUUAAUUAUUUCAAAGUCAAGAAAAUAAAAAAAGAAACGAUAGGGGGCAAAAUAAAUGACAGUGCCUUUCUUAUCCCAAAAUAUUAUACUCAUACAUUAUAAGCAAUAUUUUUAUUCAUUAGUAAUUAUUUAUUCAAAUAUUCAAUUAAAAAAAAUUUUAAUUGUUUACU